UACAGAGGGUGCAAGCGUUAAUCGGAAUUACUGGGCGUAAAGCGUGCGUAGACGGUUAUGUAAGUUAGGUGUGAAAGCCCCGGGCUCAACCUGGGAAUUGCAUUUAAGACUGCAUAGCUAGGGUGCGGAAGAGGGAAGCGGAAUUUCCGGUGUAGCGGUGAAAUGCGUAGAUAUCGGAAGGAACAUCAGUGGCGAAAGCGGCUUCCUGGUCCAGCACCGACGUUCAGGCACGAAAACGUGGGGAGCAAACAGG
rnacentral:rRNA from 1 species